AGAUUAACAUAAAUGCAUUUCUACAAUCAUAUAUUUUAAACCAAACUUCUGGGCACUAACAAAAUACCACAUCUUCAAGUUCAACAGAGUUUUAGCAGAAAUAAUUUAGAAGUGAAUAAUUUCAUAAAAUUUACCACAUAGCAUAGGAUGAAUAAAUUCUCAUAAAAAUAUUUGGACCUGCAUAAUCACUAAACUUUUAUAUAUAGCACAUUGCAAUGUAAUUUUCAUAUAAAGUGAAAUCAAUUUUAAAUAGAAGAUUUAAAGCUUUAUUCCAAUAAUAUAAAAGAACACAUACGUGCAUCUAUAAAAUUAACUACCAGCAUGUGAGCU
rnacentral:misc_RNA from 1 species